rnacentral:rRNA from 1 species
GUCCUUGGCUCUUCCGAGGAGCGCGCCUUCUCCCUGAACCAGUCCCUCUUGCGCACGGAAACAUUCGACCUUACCGAAUUGGAGACGCCUUUCACCGAGGAUGAGAUUUGGAGGGCCAUCAAAUGCCUACCAACCGGAAAGGCUCCCGGCCCGGAUGGGUUCACGGCCGAAUUCCUGCUUGCCUGCUGGGACAUCAUCAAGCAUGACAUUUGCGAGGCAUUCGACAAGUUAUACACCACCAACGGGCGAGGUUUUCAGAAGCUCAACGAAGCGCUCCUCACUCUUCUACCCAAGCGCCCGGACGCCGCCGCCCUAUCGGACUACCGCCCCAUUAGCCUCAUCCACCUCAUUGCAAAGCUCUUUGCAAAGGUGUUGUCUCUUCGGCUUGCUCUUCGUCUUGGGGCCAUGGUCUCGACCAACCAAAGCACCUUUAUCGCCGGCUGGUGUAUCCACGACAACUUCCUGCUCGUCCAGCAGACGGCACGCCUC